UUAGUCAGUGCCUUCAUUAUUGCUCAACUUGUAAGUUCCUUCCUCUCAUGUAUCCUUAUCUUAACAAUAUGAUCUUCUUAUCUCUUUCAUAUUGCUUUACCCAUUCUUUUCACAACAUGUUUUUCUAAGAUAACUACUUCAGUACGUAUAGUAUCAGUCUUGUUAUGUGGGAAACCUUUAAUGCAAAAGCUGUUAACGAAUAUUCGUAAAAGGGUAAAUAUAGUUUCACUGGUUUUCCUUUGAAAUAAUAAUUAAUCAAUAUAAUAUUUGUUUAAAUGUUUUCGAUCCGCAAGCUACUAGAUCAUGUUCCACUGCACUUUUUCUGGAAGAGAUUACCAUGAUUUGGAUUCAACUCUUUGAUCAUUCUUCUGUAUCUGAAAUUCUUCUGGCAGGUUGCAACGCUUAUAGCUGUCUAUGCUGACUGGGGCUUUGCACGGAUAAAAGGUAUAGGAUGGGGAUGGGCUGGAGUUAUCUGGCUAUACAGUGUUGUUUUCUUCUUCCCUCUUGACUGGUUCAAAUUUGCCAUCCGCUACAUUUUGAGUGGAAAGGCAUGGGAUAACCUCCUGGAGAACAAGGUAUCUCUACAUCCUUGUCUGUUAAGCUGCUGUCCAUUUAAUUAACUUAUUACUCGUUGCUUAACUUAUUCAAAAUUUACAGACUGCAUUCACUACCAAGAAGGAUUAUGGUAGGGAAGAAAGGGAAGCUCAAUGGGCUAUGGCACAACGAACUCUGCAUGGACUCCAACCUCCUGAAACUGCCAAUAUCUUCUCAGAGAAGAGCAGCUAUAGAGAACUUUCAGAGAUUGCUGAGCAAGCCAAACGACGAGCUGAGAUUGCAAGGUAUUGCAUUUUCAACCGGAUUUACUUUACAUAAUGAGAACAACUCUAUAGCUAAGUCACGAGAACUGAAGUAAUAAAAAAUCAAAAGUGUGACGCAAUACCAAUUCUGAGGUCU
rnacentral:lncRNA from 1 species